rnacentral:rRNA from 1 species
UAUGUGAUCGUCUCUCGCAUAUCAAUAAGCGGAGGAAAAGAAACUAACAAGGAUUCCCCUAGUAACGGCGAGUGAAGCGGGAAGAGCUCAAAUUUGAAAUCUUAAAGGGUUUCCCUUUACGAAUUGUAGUUUAAAGAAGUGUUUUCUGUUGAGGUUUUGGUAAAAGUUCUUUGGAAUAGGACAUCAUAGAGGGUGAGAAUCCCGUAUUUGACCUUUACUUUCAACUUUGUGAUACACUUUCAAAGAGUCGGAUUGUUUGGGAAUGCAGUCCAAAAUGGGUGGUAAAUUUCAUCUAAAGCUAAAUAUUGGCGAGAGACCGAUAGCGAACAAGUACCGUGAGGGAAAGAUGAAAAGAACUUUGAAAAGAGAGUUAAACAGUACGUGAAAUUGUCAAAAGGGAAGCGUUUGACACCAGUGUUGUUUUUCUGAAAAUCAAUUAAAGAACUGUUUAUGCUAAGUUGUUUAGACUUUAUCAGCUAACUGUUUAGUUUUGAGCUUUUCUUUAAUGCACUUUUCAGUUAACAAGUCAACAUCAAUUUCUUUUGCUGUAAAAAAGCUUGAGGAAGGUGGCUUGAGAUUCGUCUUAAGUGUUUAUAGCCUCUUGCCUAUGCAGUCGGAGAGAUUGAGGUCUGCAGCGUAGAUCCUUCGGGGCUAAAUGCAUUUGUGCUAAGUUAUAGCAUUUUAUAGACAACUUGUUGACUAUGAUUUGUCUUGUAGCUUACUCGCUUAUGUUAUUUUACCUACGCUUAGGAUGUUGACUGAUAUUAGUCGUA